rnacentral:sRNA from 1 species
AUGGACGCACUUGUACACUCCGGUUCCUGCGCGCGCCGUCCCGGCCAUCUGUCGGCUGCUCGCAACGUGUUGUAGCC